UACGUAGGGUGCGAGCGUUGUCCGGAAUUACUGGGCGUAAAGAGCUCGUAGGUGGUUUGUCGCGUUGUCCGUGAAAACUCACAGCUCAACUGUGGGCGUGCGGGCGAUACGGGCAGACUGGAGUACUGCAGGGGAGACUGGAAUUCCUGGUGUAGCGGUGGAAUGCGCAGAUAUCAGGAGGAACACCGGUGGCGAAGGCGGGUCUCUGGGCAGUAACUGACGCUGAGGAGCGAAAGCGUGGGGAGCGAACGGG
rnacentral:rRNA from 1 species